UAGUCCACGCCGUAAACGAUGGAUACUAGCUGUACGGACUCCGGUCUGUGUGGCUAAGCGAAAGUGAUAAGUAUCCCACCUGGGGAGUACGUUCGCAAGAAUGAAACUCAAAGGAAUUGACGGGGGCCCGCACAAGCGGUGGAGCAUGUGGUUUAAUUCGAUGAUACGCGAGGAACCUUACCAGGGCUUAAAUGCAUUCGGACAGGGGUGGAAACACCCCCUUCUUCGGACUGAUUGCAAGGUGCUGCAUGGUUGUCGUCAGCUCGUGCCGUGAGGUGUCAGGUUAAGUCCUAUAACGAGCGCAACCCCUGUGGUCAGUUGCCAGCGAGUAAUGUCGGGAACUCUGGCCAGACUGCCGGUGCAAACCGUGAGGAAGGUGGGGAUGACGUCAAAUCAUCACGGCCCUUACGUCCUGGGCUACACACGUGCUACAAUGGCAGGUACAGAGGGCAGCCACACCGCGAGGUGGGGCGAAUCCUUAAAACCUGUCUCAGUUCGGAUCGGGGUCUGCAACUCCG
rnacentral:rRNA from 1 species